rnacentral:rRNA from 1 species
UGGGGAAUAUUGCACAAUGGGGGAAACCCUGAUGCAGCGACGCCGCGUGAACGAAGAAGGUAUUCGUAUCGUAAAGUUCUGUCCUAUGGGAAGAUAAUGACAGUACCAUAGAAGAAAGCUCCGGCUAAAUACGUGCCAGCAGCCGCGGUAAUACGUAUGGAGCGAGCGUUGUCCGGAAUUAUUGGGCGUAAAGGGUACGCAGGCGGUUUAAUAAGUCGAAUGUUAAAGAUCGGGGCUCAACCCAGGAAAGCAUUGGAAACUGAUAAACUUGAGUAGUGGAGAGGAAAGUGGAAUUCCUAGUGUAGUGGUGAAAUACGUAGAUAUUAGGGGGAAUACCAGUAGCGAAGGCGACGUUCUGGACACAAACUGACGCUGAGGUACGAAAGCGUGGGGAGCAAACAGG